rnacentral:tmRNA from 1 species
GGGGGCGAUGAGAUUCGAUUCGGACCCGUGCGCUGUGGGGGGCAUGCCGAGGUUGUCAGGAGGCCUCGUAAAACACCUGGCAGCAAUCCAAGUGCCAACUACAACCCUGUAGCAGAAGCGGAAGCGAUUCUCGCUUCUGAGGCACUCCAAGUCGUCGCCUAAUUAACUAGGCGACGCCGUUGACCGGUCAGCCUGCGGGCCGGGCGGCGUGUCGUGCAGGCUGGUCCGCUCGCGCGCCGCGCGCGAGGGGGCGAGGAGAUCCAGCGGCUCUGCCUGAACGCGCCCGCUCCGCAGACGGGUUCGGGUGAGCGGUUCAAUGCGGGGCUACGCAUGUAGAGGGCCCACGACCUCGAGCCGAAGACCUGGGUGCAACUCCCAGCGCCUCCACCA